UCUCCGUAGGUGAACCUGCGGAGGGAUCAUUACAGAGUUCAUGCCCUACCGGGUAGAUCUCCCACCCUAUGUUAUUAUUACUUUGUUGCUUUGGCGGGCCGUUAGGCUCCGGCCCGACUACCGGCCCCGGCUGGUAAGUGCCCGCCAGAGGACCCAAAACCCUGAAUAUUAGUGUCGUCUGAGUACUAUAUAAUAGUUAAAACUUUCAACAACGGAUCUCUUGGUUCUG
rnacentral:misc_RNA from 1 species